rnacentral:rRNA from 1 species
GUGUCAGCAGCCGCGGUAAUACAGAGACUGCGAGCGUUAUUCGGAUUCACUGGGCGUAAAGGGUGCGCAGGUGGCUAGGUGUGUUAGGCGUGAAAGCCCGGGGCUUAACCCCGGAAUUGCACCUAAAACUACUUGGCUAGAGCAUUGGAGAGGGGAGCAGAAUUCAUGGUGUAGCAGUGAAAUGCGUAGAUAUCAUGAGGAAUACCAGAGGCGAAGGCGGCUCCCUGGACAAUUGCUGACACUCAGGCACGAAAGCGUGGGGAGCAAAAGGGAUUAGAAACCCUCGUAGUCC